GAUGAAGAACGCAGCGAAAUGCGAUAAGUAAUGUGAAUUGCAGAAUUCAGUGAAUCAUCGAAUCUUUGAACGCACAUUGCGCCCCUUGGUAUUCCGAGGGGCAUGCCUGUUCGAGCGUCAUUAUCACCCUUCAAGCUCUGCUUGGUGUUGGGGCCUGCUGUUAGGCAGCCCUUAAAAUUAGUGGCAGUGACCAUUAGGCUCUAAGCGUAGUAAUUCUUCUCGCUAUAGAGUCCCGGUGGAUGCUUGCCAUUAACCCCCAAUUUUCUAUGGUUGACCUCGGAUCAGGUAGGGAUACCCGCUGAACUUAAGCAUAUCAAUAAGCGGAGGA
rnacentral:misc_RNA from 1 species